ACGGGUGAGUAAUGCCUAGGAAUCUGCCUGAUAGUGGGGGAUAACGUCCGGAAACGGACGCUAAUACCGCAUACGUCCUACGGGAGAAAGUGGGGGAUCUUCGGACCUCACGCUAUCAGAUGAGCCUAGGUCGGAUUAGCUAGUUGGUGGGGUAAAGGCUCACCAAGGCGACGAUCCGUAACUGGUCUGAGAGGAUGAUCAGUCACACUGGAACUGAGACACGGUCCAGACUCCUACGGGAGGCAGCAGUGGGGAAUAUUGGACAAUGGGCGAAAGCCUGAUCCAGCCAUGCCGCGUGUGUGAAGAAGGUCUUCGGAUUGUAAAGCACUUUAAGUUGGGAGGAAGGGUCGUUACCUAAUACGUGGCGAUUUUGACGUUACCGACAGAAUAAGCACCGGCUAACUCUGUGCCAGCAGCCGCGGUAAUACAGAGGGUGCAAGCGUUAAUCGGAAUUACUGGGCGUAAAGCGCGCGUAGGUGGUUUGUUAAGUUGGAUGUGAAAUCCCCGGGCUCAACCUGGGAACUGCAUCCAAAACUGGCAAGCUAGAGUAGGGCAGAGGGUGGUGGAAUUUCCUGUGUAGCGGUG
rnacentral:rRNA from 1 species